GUUGUGGUUAGUGGCGGUUGGAAAAAAAUAAAGGUGAAGAAAAUGUUCGAACUAAAGGAACGUCAUCAGCAAAAAGUAUAGUUUUUCUUGAACAUUAGUAUUGACCUCAUAUUAGUGCAAUAAUGUAUCAGGAAUAUAAAGAAAGAACUGGUACAAGAGAUAAUGGUGCUUUGAUGAAAAUAAGUGUUGAAAAUCUCAAAACUUUCGAGGAAUAACAGUUGAAAUUGAUCAAGAAUAAUAUUCUUUUCACAUUAAGUGAACAAAACUAGCGGCCAUUUUUGACAUGAGUGCCACUCUGGAAUAUAUCCGUUAAAUUGACAAAGAUGCUGGCAUUUAUCACCAAAAAUAUUGAACAAUCGAAGAAACUGUACAAUAUAUACAAUUUGGCUUGAUGCUGCCAAGUUUUUUCGUGGAAUACUUCCAGAAGAAAUAGAGGACGCAGGAAAAAGUUUGCCUUACAUUGCCGAAUAAAACAGUUUUCCUAUAAUAAUAAAUCCCUGAGUUAUUAUUAUUAUCACAGCGAACACGCGAUAUCUGUAGGUAUCUAUAUAGUAAUAAUACGAUAACAUCGUCGUCUAUAUGCGAAACUAUUAAUACUUAUCCAGAAAAUUAAUAUUUAUGGCAAUUUAUUACAAUAUUUUCCUUCAAUAAUCCAAUUUCCUCGUUUCUCCCUUUCUUGUAUGCUUCGUAUAAAGCUUUUUAUAAUUAUUACAAGAUUUGAUUAAAAAAAAAAUUUUUUGUUUUUUUCUCGAUUUUUCUUUAUUUUUCAAAAUAAAAAUUUUUUUUUAACGAAUUAUUUAGACAAAAAUAAUCAUCAGGCCCACUGUAAAACUUUUUGCAAAAUAUU